AUUGUGGUUUGGGGGUCAGCACCCACCAGUGCCAGGGCACUACUGGGAGGCUGGGACCUGACCAAAGCCCAUGGUGUCUGUGGCCUGAGGACAGGGUGUCUUGGGGCCAUGAGGACAGGCCACCAAUGGCCGUUGGGUCAUAGGGCCUGAGCCCCAGUGUUUGUCCUUCCCUGGCUCCUUCUGGUUCAGUCCCAUCAGGGCUCUGGAUCCCAAGACGCAGCAUCCAAGGUUCCCUCCAGGAAUCCUGGUGGCUCGGCUUACUUUGUCAUGUUUCAUCUGAUAGCAAAAAUAUCAGAUCGGCUGCACAGAAAAAUGGCUCAAAGUGCUUAAUGACCAGAAGAAAUCUGGGAGUAGCAAGAAGAGCAGGACAAACACGCCAGGUGGUGUCAGGAGCCCAGGUCUCCAGCUGGAGGGAAUGUCAACCCUGCAGUGGGAGCCCAUCAUGCAUCCUAGGCACAGAUGCUAACGUAGGCACCGCAGGAAUCCCAGUGAAUAUAUUGCCACCAUCUUGGAGCUCAGUGCCCUCAUAGUGUAACAGCACCAGCAGAUCUGCCUGUGCACAGACUUCCUGUACUACCUCACUCCUGAGGGGAGAUGCUUCUGCAGGGCCUGCGACCUGGUGCACAACUUUAGACACCAUCAUCCUGGAGCGG
rnacentral:lncRNA from 1 species